rfam:Phytophthora infestans T30-4 supercont1.18 genomic scaffold, whole genome shotgun sequence.
GCGAGAGCUCGCCUCGCCUACCAAGCGUACCAGCGCCGCAUUUCAGCACACGAGCGCUCUCUGGCUUAAUGGUUAGCUUGCACUCGUUUGCUGAGUUGCAGCGCUGGUUCGCUUGGUACGCUAGGUGCACUCUGGC